GUGGGGAAUAUUGCACAAUGGGCGAAAGCCUGAUCCAGCCAUGCCGCGUGUGUGAAGAAGGUCUUCGGAUUGUAAAGCACUUUAAGUUGGGAGGAAGGGCAGUAAGUUAAUACCUUGCUGUUUUGACGUUACCGACAGAAUAAGCACCGGCUAACUUCGUGCCAGCAGCCGCGGUAAUACGAAGGGUGCAAGCGUUAAUCGGAAUUACUGGGCGUAAAGCGCGCGUAGAGGGUUUUGUAAGUUGGAGGUGAAAUCCCCGGGCUCAACCUGGGAACUGCCUCCAAAACUGCAUGACUAGAGUACAGUAGAGGGUAGUGGAAUUUCCUGUGUAGCGGUGAAAUGCGUAGAUAUAGGAAGGAACACCAGUUGCGAAGGCGACUACCUGGACUGAUACUGACACUGAGGUGCGAAAGCGUGGGGAGCAAACAGGAUUAGAUACCCGUGUAGUCC
rnacentral:rRNA from 1 species